CGCUCGAAACCCUCCCCAGGCCCGCCGACCCUCUGGCCCGACCCGGCCGAACACGGCCCCUCCGGCCUCCUCCGGCCACGGACCCGGGCUCCCCUGGGAUCGCCGGCCCACGACGAGCCUCCCUAUGGUGUCGCCGUGCCCCGCCGCUGCUCCCAGGCUCGGAUCGAAGAAGCUCAGCCGUGCGAAACCCGACCCGGCCGGAAAACCUCGACGCCGGCGAUGCACGGGCCG
rnacentral:lncRNA from 1 species